rnacentral:rRNA from 1 species
UACGAAGGGGGCUAGCGUUGCUCGGAAUCACUGGGCGUAAAGCGCACGUAGGCGGGUUGCUAAGUCAGGGGUGAAAUCCUGGAGCUCAACUCCAGAACUGCCUUUGAUACUGAGAAGCUUGAGUCCGGGAGAGGUGAGUGGAACUGCGAGUGUAGAGGUGAAAUUCGUAGAUAUUCGCAAGAACACCAGUGGCGAAGGCGGCUCACUGGCCCGGUACUGACGCUGAGGUGCGAAAGCUAGGGGAGCAAACGGG